rnacentral:rRNA from 1 species
GCGCGAAAACUUUACAAUGCGAGCAAUCGUGAUAAGGAAACCCUGAGUGCCUGUCAACGCAGGCUGUUCUGGUGUCUAACACACACCAGGAGAAAGGGCGGGGCAAGACCGGUGCCAGCCGCCGCGGUAAUACCGGCUGCUCGAGUGAUAGCCACUUUUACUGGGCUUAAAGCGUUCGUAGCUUGGUCGUUAAGUCUCUGGGGAAAUCUUUUGGCUCAACCAAAAGGCGUCUCAGGGAAACUGGCGACCUAGGAACCGGGAGAGGUAAGACGUACUUCGGGGGUAGGAGUGAAAUCUUGUAAUCCCCGAGGGACGACCGAUGGCGAAGGCAUCUUACCAGAACGGCUUCGACAGUGAGGGACGAAAGCUGGGGGAGCAAACCGGAUUAGAUACCCGGGUAGUCCCAGCCGUAAACGAUGUGCGUUAGGUGUGUCAGCGACCACGAGUCGCUGAGGUGCCGAAGGGAAACCGUGAAACGCACCGCCUGGGAAGUACGGUCGCAAGGCUGAAACUUAAAGGAAUUGGCGGGGAAGCACCACAACGGGUGGAGCCUGCGGUUUAAUUGGAUUCAACGCCGGACAACUCACCGGAUACGACAGCGGAAUGAUAGUCGGGCUGAAGACUCUACUUGACUAGCU